rnacentral:rRNA from 1 species
AACGAACGCUGGCCGCAUGCCUAACACAUGCAAGUCGAACGAGACCUUCGGGUCUAGUGUCGCACGGGUGCGUAACGCGUGGGAACCUGCCCUUAGGUUCGGAAUAACUCCCCGAAAGGGGUGCUAAUACCGGAUAAUGUCUUCUGACCAAAGAUUUAUCGCCUUUGGAUGUGCCCGCGUUGGAUUAGCUAGUUGGUAGGGUAAAAGCCUACCAAGGCGACGAUCCAUAGCUGGUCUGAGAGGAUGAUCAGCCACACUGGGACUGAGACACGGCCCAGACUCCUACGGGAGGCAGCAGUGGGGAAUAUUGGAAAAUGGGCGAAAGCAUGAUCCAGCAAUGACGCGUGAGUGAUGAAGGCAUUAGGGUUGUAAAGCGCUUUUAACCGGGAUGAUAAUGACAGUACCGGGAGAAUAAGCUCCGGCUAACUCCGUG